GGGUGUGCCGGCCAGUUGGUCGGCACACCCCUUCAAGGUAUGAGCGGUUUUAGGAUUCUGGAAUAACUGGUGCGAUUCCGGUGCGCUCGUA
rnacentral:tRNA from 1 species